GAUGAACGCUGGCGGCGUGCCUAAUACAUGCAAGUCGAGCGAACGGACGAGAAGCUUGCUUCUCUGAUGUUAGCGGCGGACGGGUGAGUAACACGUGGAUAACCUACCUAUAAGACUGGGAUAACUUCGGGAAACCGGAGCUAAUACCGGAUAAUAUUUUGAACCGCAUGGUUCAAAAGUAAAAGACGGUCUUGCUGUCACUUAUAGAUGGAUCCGCGCUGCAUUAGCUAGUUGGUAAGGUAACGGCUUACCAAGGCAACGAUGCAUAGCCGACCUGAGAGGGUGAUCGGCCACACUGGAACUGAGACACGGUCCAGACUCCUACGGGAGGCAGCAGUAGGGAAUCUUCCGCAAUGGGCGAAAGCCUGACGGAGCAACGCCGCGUGAGUGAUGAAGGUCUUCGGAUCGUAAAACUCUGUUAUUAGGGAAGAAUAUAUGUGUAAGUAACUGUGCACAUCUUGACGGUACCUAAUCAGAAAGCCACGGCUAACUACGUGCCAGCAGCCGCGGUAAUACGUAGGUGGCAAGCGUUAUCCGGAAUUAUUGGGCGUAAAGCGCGCGUAGGCGGUUUUUUAAGUCUGAUGUGAAAGCCCACGGCUCAACCGUGGAGGGUCAUUGGAAACUGGAAAACUUGAGUGCAGAAGGGGAAAGUGGAAUUCCAUGUGUAGCGGUGAAAUGCGCAGAGAUAUGGAGGAACACCAGUGGCGAAGGCGACUUUCUGGUCUGUAACUGACGCUGAUGUGCGAAAGCGUGGGGAUCAAACAGGAUUAGAUACCCUGGUAGUCCACGCCGUAAACGAUGAGUGCUAAGUGUUAGGGGGUUUCCGCCCCUUAGUGCUGCAGCUAACGCAUUAAGCACUCCGCCUGGGGAGUACGACCGCAAGGUUGAAACUCAAAGGAAUUGACGGGGACCCGCACAAGCGGUGGAGCAUGUGGUUUAAUUCGAAGCAACGCGAAGAACCUUACCAAAUCUUGACAUCCUUUGACAACUCUAGAGAUAGAGCCUUCCCCUUCGGGGGACAAAGUGACAGGUGGUGCAUGGUUGUCGUCAGCUCGUGUCGUGAGAUGUUGGGUUAAGUCCCGCAACGAGCGCAACCCUUAAGCUUAGUUGCCAUCAUUAAGUUGGGCACUCUAAGUUGACUGCCGGUGACAAACCGGAGGAAGGUGGGGAUGACGUCAAAUCAUCAUGCCCCUUAUGAUUUGGGCUACACACGUGCUACAAUGGACAAUACAAAGGGCAGCGAAACCGCGAGGUCAAGCAAAUCCCAUAAAGUUGUUCUCAGUUCGGAUUGUAGUCUGCAACUCGACUACAUGAAGCUGGAAUCGCUAGUAAUCGUAGAUCAGCAUGCUACGGUGAAUACGUUCCCGGGUCU
rnacentral:rRNA from 1 species